GACGAACGCUGGCGGCGUGCCUAAUACAUGCAAGUAGGACGCAGUUGCGAACGGGUGAGUAACGCGUAGGUAACUGCCUAUUAGAGGGGGAUAACUAUUGGAAACGAUAGCUAAUACCGCAUACUAGUAGAUGGACCUGCGUUGUAUUAGCUAGGAGGUAGGGUAAUGGCCUACCUAGGCACCGAUACAUAGCCGACCUGGGGAGGUGAGCGGCCACACUGGGACUGGUACACGGCCCAGACUCCUACGGGGGGGAGCAGUAGGGAAUCUUCGGAAAAGGGGGGAACCCUUACCACGCCAAGCCGCGGGAGUGAAGAAGGGUUUCGGAGCGUAAAGCUCUGUUGUUAAGGAAGCGGUACUUAACCAGAAAGGGCCGGCUAACUACGUGCCAGCAGCCGCGGUAAUAC
rnacentral:rRNA from 1 species